rnacentral:lncRNA from 1 species
AUGGGGGGAGAUGCCAGCAGGGAGGGGCAUUGCCAGCCCGGGUGCUUAGGAGAGGCCGCUGAGGGCGGGGCAUGGGAGGAGGCAGGUGCAGGGGAAGAGGAGGAAGGGCAGAUGGGGAGGGAGGGGAUGAGGAGGGCUGGGCCGCGGAGGGAAGAGCAGGGUCCAGGACGAGGGUGGAGGAGCCCGGGAGGCAGAGGAGCCUCCGAUAUUUUACCCCAGUUAAAAAUAGCUCCUCACACAAGGGCUGAAAACAGGCUCCUUCUCUGAGCACUUCCUCAGGCGGGUUCUCAGCCUCCCCCUGAAUCAUCGUCCCUGAGCCGCUUCACCGCCACCUCAUGGAGAGGCAAGCCAAGGCCUCCCACGCUUCCUCUGGGGACGCUGUCAGCAGGUGCCUGUCCCGUUGCUGUCCAGCCAGCCCGAAUCAGGUCUUAAUAUGCAGCCAGAUGGUGUUGCUGCCCCUUCCAGAACCACCGCCUGCUGUUCCUCCAGCAAAGAGGAAGGAGCACACCUUUUGUCCCGGUACCAGGAAGCCAGCAGUCCCUUCUGUGGCUCGAUUUUAGCAGAGCCUCUCCGCCACUCGGAAUAGUUCCUGAGUCUUCUCCUCUACCCGGUGCUCCAGGCAGAGUUUUGACCUGUCAGGAAAUGGUGUUUGAGGUGUGCUGAGGAAGCAGAGGAGGAGGCGAGGAUGGAAAAUCCAAACAUCUGGGCAGCCCGGGUGGCUCAGCGGUUUAGAGCCGCCUCCAGCCCAGGGUGUGAUCCUGGGGACCCGGGAUCGAGUCCCGUGUCAGGCUCCCUGCAUGGAGCCUGCUCCUCCCUCUGCCUGUGUCUUUGCCUCUCUCUCUCUCUGUGUCUCUCAUGAAUAAAUAAAUAAAAUAAUAAUAAAAAAGAAGAAAAUCCAAACAUCUUUCCAAAAUCGCUGUGAACAGGCAAUUUAUGUUUUCGCAUCAGUCUGGCUUUCAAACAACCAGAGCCACUCGUCCGAUGAGUUCCUGGCAUUCUCAUAAGCCAUACCAUCAUGCCUCCAUCUGGGAAUCAGACAGAGUUGUGACAACCUGUAGAACCAUCCAGCUGAGUCAGGUGACAGGUUCCUGAGCCGGCUGGACAGGCUGUGGCAUCACCCACACUGAAGAUAAUAACACCACGAAGAAAGUUCUCUCCAUUCUGGAAACCUAAAGGAAUGUGUGCAAGUCCCUGCCACCCCACCCCCUGGCCAUCAUUCAGCCACAUACAUACUCCUUGUCUUCAGUACGACUUCCACGUUGGUACGUUUUAGAGAACACUUUGCCGUGUUUGUCUGCACAAUGGGCUGCCUGAGUUCUAGAUUAUAAAUAAUUUCUUUUCAGGAUUUCAAGACUUUCUUUUUUUCUUUAGGGUUACAUUUAAUAUUUUCCAUGUAGUUUGCCUUUCUGGGAGAAUGUUCUCAGGGAUGAGUCACUUUGGUUUGCCCAGAUGGUCUUCCUUUCAACUGCUUUCCCUAUUUUAAUGAUCUCUUAUUCAUAUAUAUAUAUAUAUAUAUAUAUAUAUAUAUAUAUAUAUAUAUAUAUUUCAAAGUGAUAUGUUUGAUUUGAGGUUCCAGGCUGAGACCCAGCUUACUACAAAUUCCACCCAUAUGCCAUUGCUUUAUCUUAUAUACGAGCUGGCAGGGCAAAGAGUGCUGGUUAGCUGAGAUCAUUCGGGCAUGGGUUCUCAAUGUGAAGUCUGUGCAACACCUGUGUCCACAAUCAGUGUGCUUCCCCAAACUGCAGACUGCUGGAUCUGCUUACAAAAACACCAAAAGAAAAGUCUGGUGGGGGCACCUGGGUGGCUCAGUGGUUGAGCGGCUGCCUUCAGCUCAGGACGUGAUCCUGGGAUCAAGUUAUGCAUCAGGUUCCCUGCAAGGACCUGCUUCUCCCUCUGCCUAUGUCUCUGCCUCUCUCUCUGUGUCUCUCAUGAGUAAAUAAAUAAAAUCUUAAAAAUAAAAAAAAAAAGAAAAGUUUGGUGGGGUUGGAGGAGGCCUUGCAAUCUGCAUCUUCCAUAUAUACAGCAGGUGAUACUGGUACAGGUGGAGUCUGAGAAUCACCAUCCCAACCCAAAGGGCAGGGUGACAAUUCCAGCUGUCCUCCCAGGUUGCCUUUCUCCACCCCUCUCCUCAAGCUAGGAUUGGGUCCUCUUGCCCGCCCCUGUAGCUUUCUGUAACUUUCAUAUAGUUCAGAAUCUUGAUGGCCACGCUGAAGGCAAGCCACGCUGUUGAGGUUGGACCCCGUGGACAGUGCCUAGCAUGGGUCUCCGCGGGCUGCUUCCCACACCUUCUCCGGUGGAAGCAACACACAAAAAAUGUUGACAUUCGAAUUGCACACUGGGAUUAACAAAUGGGGUUUCCCGCAGCUGCAAAGUGCUGGUCUGGAGGCUCUGGUCUCCCCAGCCUGGGCAGUGCCCCGAGGGCUCAGGAGAUGGAACUCUCAGCAGGCCUGUGGCCCGUUGGUUUGGAAGCCUUGCAUUAGAUGCCUGUGGCCCUCGUGUGGAUAAGAAAUGAAUGGUGGCCUAUAGGAAUAGAGAGGAGGGGACUAAGCAGUGCAGAUCGAGGGGAGGGAUUUUAG